rnacentral:rRNA from 1 species
UACGGGGGGGGCAAGCGUUGUUCGGAAUUACUGGGCGUAAAGGGCGUGUAGGUGGCCAACUAAGUCCGACGUGAAAUCCCCAGGCUUAACCUGGGAACUGCGUCGGAUACUGGAUGGCUUGAAUUCGGGAGAGGGAUGCAGAAUUCCAGGUGUAGCGGUGAAAUGCGCAGAUAUCAGGAGGAACACCGGUGGCGAAGGCGGGUCUCUGGGCCGUCCCUGACGCUGAGGCGGCGAAGGCGUGGGGAGCGAACGGG